AUUUUCAUGAUGGAUCCUAAAAAUCAAGGCCACGCCAUAAGGAAUAGUGCCAAAUCAUGCUAAAUUUACUAUAUAUGGCCAAGAUGAGUCUUGGAAUAUCCUAAUUUUCGGGGAAUCCAUUCAUCCUAGUGUGGCAAAUCAUAUAAGUAGAUUGGAUGGCAUAUAAAUAUCAGGGUGGAACUUGUAUGUACUUUGGACGAUUUUGGUGGUGGGAAUUACCAUUUCAACUGUUCCCCGACAGGUGUUGUCUUUGGUUUUGGAAGAUUUUGGGUACCACCCACUCCGCAUGGUCCAUAUAGGCAAUUUGGAUCAUUGCAACAUGCCCUGGAUCUAGCUGCAGUUAGCGGUGAAACUCGGACAGGUGGAUUUGGAUUGAAGAUGGAUCUAGCGGUGCAACAUGUCCUCCUUAUACACAGUAGAGAUGUGAAAGAUGGAGGAAACUGUUACUAUGACACUUCCAAGGCAACAUAUGAGCUCACUCAAAAGAUACUACUUACAGGACUGGAGCUUGGAGCUGUUGAUGUGUUUCUUGAUUUCAUUUACUACUCAGGUGGUCCUCUACCUAAUGAACUGCUCACCUAAGUUAAGGGAGUUCAUGUUUCAGAGGACUUUGUUGUCGAGCAAUUGAGGUCCAUGAUUUCUGAUAUGUAGGUUGAUGUGGUCACUCAGGUUGGCAGCUGGUAUACAGGAAGUCAAAGUUGAAAUGGUUUGACAGGACUUUUUACAUGGAAAAUGCAAACGAAAAUCUUGUCGAUACUCUCAUGUUUUAGCUCAUGGAAUGCCUCAGGUCAAAGAUGCAUACUUAUGAUUUCUUCAUUGUGAUUUGGAAAUUUUCAUUUGUAUUGUUUCAUGUCUUCUCUUUAAGCCUGCUUUGUAU